GUUGCUACAUUCGUCGCUUUUACAAUGAAGCAGAUAAAAAUCGUAUAAAAAGUAAAUCGAUUUGCAAAUGAAAUUUCCUACUUUAAACUAACAUUGUUUCAAAAUUAAAGUACUUACGUUUGGAUACCGCAAGCCUCCAUCCUUCCAGCAUUUUAAUCGCACGAAAGUAAAAGACAAUAUCACAGAAAACUUAAUCCAGUACUUUGCACCUACACUUUCUUCAUAACCAAGUGCCGGAUCUCGUCAAGCUUAUGAGGUCUAAACCAAUUUUCUGCACUCACAAUUUCACAACUUACGAAAAAUUUCAAUAAAGUGAUUUUAAUUAGGUACUGCCUUACCAGCACUAUACAGUCCGUACGACUGUAGUGAAAUGACUGGAGUACUGCAGGUUUAAUUUACUUAUAUCACUAGUGCAAAACUUCUACCUGUCCAUAGAUGAACCUCUCUACUCAUAGAACCUCUCCACGGAACUUAUGAUCAUGUAGCAUCAUGAUGCUACGAUGUUUUUAUAAAUUUUUUUAUAUGUUUCCAAAUAUUCCACUCAGCGCUGAUUAAAUUGAAAACUAGUUAAAAACACAUGUUUUCUAAUUACAAAUUAAAUUUAAAGAAACUAAUGCUAAUGCAAAAACAUAAGCUAAGGACACUAUUUGGAAAUGAGUAGACAUUCUUUAUAUUUACUAAUACCUAUUAGGUAUUACUAGAGGUUUUUUGAAAAAUUCAUACUAAUAUGUAAUAAAGAUGCACACGAAAGUUGACUUCGUCUGCUUAUAACAGACAGUAAUUGAUAAUU